ensembl:lncRNA
CAACAAAUUAAAAACAGACCUGAAUCUAGAAGUAAUACCUUUGCAUAUUUUGGCUGGAGUAAGAUACAAAUAUCUCCAUGCAUUUCCUGUGUACACUAAGAAAAGCUUCCAUACAGACUCUCUAACAACUGGAGAACCAAUGCUUCUUGUGCAGCCAAUGGCUCAGACUGUGAAUGAACUGGUCAUUAACAAGAACUUAAACAAGGAAAUAAUUUCUCUUAAUCCCCAGAAGAGGCUGCUAUUAUCACAGUAGGUGUGUGGUACCCUGAAGCCUCCAGAAAAACACAUAUCUUCAAAGCUUUGAAUGACUGCCUUGACCUCCAGUUUUUCCGGUGAUGGAAUCCAAAUUCUGUACAUUCCACUCCUUUUCCAGGAAUACUAACAAUUAAUACAAUGUGCAAAACAAAGGACAAACCUAAGGAUCAAAUGGGGGAAAAAAAAACAAACUCCCGUUUACACUAAGACAGAGCUAAACACCAAAGAGUAACUACGCUGGCUGGUCUUCCCAUUCAAUUUCACUUAAGAAUCUACUAAAUAUAUUUGCUUUGAUUUGUAUUUCAG